rnacentral:rRNA from 1 species
AGAUAAGCCAUGCAUGUCCCGAAUUAGAGGAAUGAAUUCUCUCUGAAUCUGCGAACGGCUCCCAAAACAGUUGUAAGCUAAGGCGAGUAUGCCCCUGCCUUGUAUCGUCCGGGUUUACUCCCGGGUGAAAACAUGCAGGGGCAAUAAGGAUACCCCCGGUAAUUCUGAGGCUAAUACUUGCUCGUGACACCCGAUGAAGGGCCCCUUCACGGGGGCCCCCUUCGGGGGUUGUGUGCGUAUAUUUUGACAAAUGGGGUUUUCCGGGAAAGGGCGCACAAUCUAACCGUGACAUAAUGUUUUCUCUAAUGUCCCGGCUUCGGCCGGGUCAUCACGGGUCUCGCAUUGCGCUUCUGACCUAUCAGCUCUUUAGCCGUGUAACGGACAAGCCAAGGCGACAACGGGUACAGAGGAUUAGGGUUUGAUCCUGGAGAGUGGGCCUGAGAGAUUGCUCACACUUCUAAGGAAGGCAGCAGGCGCGUAACGUUCCCAUUGGGCAAAAGCCCGAGGGCGUUAGGGGAAAUAUGAAUGCCUGUCUUUUGAUGGGCAAUUCAAAUGGGUCUGUUGUAAACAGCCUCUCGAGUAACAAUUA